UGGCGGCGAGUGGCGCACGGGUGAGUAAUACAUCGGAACGUGUCUUCUAGUGGGGGAUAACUGCCCGAAAGGGCAGCUAAUACCGCAUGAGACCUGAGGGUGAAAGCGGGGGAUCGCAAGACCUCGCGCUGGAAGAGCGGCCGAUGUCCGAUUAGCUAGUUGGUGAGGUAAAGGCUCACCAAGGCAACGAUCGGUAGCUGGUCUGAGAGGACGACCAGCCACACUGGGACUGAGACACGGCCCAGACUCC
rnacentral:rRNA from 1 species